rnacentral:misc_RNA from 1 species
UNUNNNNNCACUACCGAUUGNAUGGCUCAGUGAGGCCUCCGGAUUGGUUUAGGAAAGGGGGCAACUCCAUUCUGGAACCGAGAAGCUGGUCACACUUGGUCAUUUAGAGGAAGUAAAAGUCGUAACAAGGUUUCCGUAGGUGAACCUGCGGAAGGAUCAUUACUGAUUUGCUUAAUUGCACCACAUGUGUUUUGUUCUGGACAAACUUGCUUUGGCGGUGGGCCCCUGCCUGCCGCCAGAGGACAUAAACUUACAACCAAAUUUUUUAUAAACUUGUCACGAGAUUAUUUUUAAUAGUCAAAACUUUCAACAACGGAUCUCUUGGUUCUCGCAUCGAUGAAGAACGCAGCGAAAUGCGAUACGUAAUAUGAAUUGCAGAUAUUCGUGAAUCAUCGAAUCUUUGAACGCACAUUGCGCCCUCUGGUAUUCCGGAGGGCAUGCCUGUUUGAGCGUCGUUUCUCCCUCAAACCCCUAGGGUUUGGUGUUGAGCAAUACGACUUGGGUUUGCUUGAAAGAUGAUAGUGGUAUAAGGCGGAGAUGCUUGACAAUGGCUUAGGUGUAACCAAAAACAUUGCUAAGGCGGUCUCUGGCGUCGCCCAUUUUAUUCUUCAAACUUUGACCUCAAAUCAGUGNNUCC